GACGAACGCUGGCGGCGUGCCUAACACAUGCAAGUCGAGCGAAUGAAGUUCCUUCGGGAAUGGAUUUAGCGGCGGACGGGUGAGUAACACGUGGGCAACCUGCCUCAUAGAGGGGAAUAGCCUUCCGAAAGGGAGAUUAAUACCGCAUAAGAUUGUAGUACCGCAUGGUACAGCAAUUAAAGGAGCAAUCCGCUAUGAGAUGGGCCCGCGGCGCAUUAGCUAGUUGGUGAGGUAACGGCUCACCAAGGAGACGAUGCGUAGCCGACCUGAGAGGGUGAUCGGCAACAUUGGGACUGAGACACGGCCCAGACUCCGACGGGAGGCAGCAGUGGGGAAUAUUGCACAAUGGGGGAAACCCUGAUGCAGCAACGCCGCGUGAGUGAUGACGGCCUUCGGGUUGUAAAGCUCUGUCUUCAGGGACGAUAAUGACGGUACCUGAGGAGGAAGCCACGGCUAACUACGUGCCAGCCGCCGCAGUAA
rnacentral:rRNA from 1 species